GAAAUCAAAAGACAUUUGUCUUUCUCUAACUGACUUAUUUCACUCAGCAUAAUACCCUCUAGUUCCAUCCAUGUUAUUACAAACAGGAAGAUUUCGGGGGUUUUUGUUGCUGCAUAAUAU